AUUGAACGCUGGCGGCAGGCCUAACACAUGCAAGUCGAACGGUAACAGGAAGAAGCUUGCUUCUUUGCUGACGAGUGGCGGACGGGUGAGUAAUGUCUGGGAAACUGCCUGAUGGAGGGGGAUAACUACUGGAAACGGUAGCUAAUACCGCAUAACGUCGCAAGACCAAAGAGGGGGACCUUCGGGCCUCUUGCCAUCGGAUGUGCCCAGAUGGGAUUAGCUAGUAGGUGGGGUAACGGCUCACCUAGGCGACGAUCCCUAGCUGGUCUGAGAGGAUGACCAGCCACACUGGAACUGAGACACGGUCCAGACUCCUACGGGAGGCAGCAGUGGGGAAUAUUGCACAAUGGGCGCAAGCCUGAUGCAGCCAUGCCGCGUGUAUGAAGAAGUCCUUCGGGUUGUAAAGUACUUUCAGCGGGGAGGAAGGGAGUAAAGUUAAUACCCUUGCUCAUUGACGUUACCCGCAGAAGAAGCACCGGCUAACUCCGUG
rnacentral:rRNA from 1 species